AAGGGACGGGCGGGGGAGGAGUGGUCUGAGCCCCACCUCGCCGUUUCGCGGAUAAAACCCGGUGGCGGCAAUAUGCAGGAGGAAGGCGGGUUCGCGUGUGGCCCUGUGGGGAAUUCCCUUGGGGUGUCGACGGCUCGGUGGAAACCCCCGCGCCUGCCUGCCCCUGCGGCGUUCCUUCGUGAUAUCUAGUAACCUGGUUGGCGAAUUAUAAUCAGAAUGCUGUUUGGUGAGCGAAGAGUAAAAAAUUCAGAGUCAGACGAACUACCCCUACCUCACAACUGACUACAUCACUCUGAUGACCAGAUAGUGGAAUCUCCAAAUUCAGUACCCUUGUACAUCAAAAGUAUGAGUUCCUUCGGAGUGGAGAAAUUGAUACGGAACAAAAUUGAUGAGCUAUACGUGAAAGGCAAAAUGGCCAAAGACGACCAAGCCCUGCUCCCUGGAGCCCAUGACUACGUUUCCUUGGACGGCAAGAGGGGCUUCGCAUCUGCAGUUAAGAUUAUGGACGUGGAUAAUCCAGGUGGGCCCUUCGAAGCAGAGAACUCUGGUUGAAGUCAAAGACAUGCAGUGGAAUAGGAGGCAAGAGAAGAAAUCCAAGAGAGAGACUCCAAGUGCGAGAAGGGCUUGAAGCGCUGUUACCUGCUCUGAGCACAGGGAGCGGCCUGCAAGGACUGAAGAGAGAUCUUGAAGAGCUAAGGACAGCCCCUGGCUGACAGCCAGCGAGCAAACAAGGACCUCAAUCCUACAACCGCAAGAAAUGAAAUUCUGACAACUGAAAAAGCCUGGAAGUCGAUUCUUCCCCAGAGCCCCCAGAAAGGAAUGCAGCUCUUGAUUUGGUCUUGUGAGACCUGGAACAGAGAAAAACCCUUGAGCCCUGCUCUGCUCAGACUUCUGACCUGCAGAAGUUACAAAAUCAUAAAUGAAUGUUGUUUUAAGCCUGUAAAUGUAUGGCGAUUUGUUACUGUAGCAAUAGAAACCAAAACACUAUGUUAGCAUGUUCGAGUUCAAUCUAAGAAAAUAAUCUGAAAAAAUAACACAGUUGUGUGUGGGAACACACAACCCAAAACAGAAUUCAAAGGACAAGGACAGUGAAAGCCCAGAUAAGGUCAUUCAAACACCGACUGUUAUCUGUAAGAUAAUGAAAAGUAAACAUGUGGUUCUUUGCAUAAUUUUGAUCAAAGGAAUAUAAUAUGUUUUGCACACAUUUGGAGGAAAACCGGCUGCAUUAGGAUUCUCAUUAGGGAAGAACUGGUGUCAACUGGGGACCAGGAUGUGGAACCACUCCCUAUGUUAUGGUGACAAGAAGAUGGAUGUACAAAUCUAAUUUGGGCAAGUGAGCGAGCAGUCACGGAGUGCCCAGCAGAAGGUAGAGGGCACCUCAAUCGACAUAGUUGGUUGAAACUGGGAUGAAGUCAAAAGAAAAAGGAAAAGAGAGGACUUUUUGUGCUCAUCUGGCACUUUCAGCUGGCACACAUCUGCUGGCCCCUCCCGUUGGCUCCAGUCUUGGACAUAUGAGCAGGGCCUGGUCCAUCCACGUAUUUUUUCCUCUCUUGCCAUAGAGAUUGUUUCCAGAUGUGACAAAAAGGUGGUCCAAAGAGUGCCAGGCCCUUCUCUGGGACUGUUGUGAGGGCAGUGCUCUAGACGGGUGUUGCUAAUUGGGCGGAAGAAUGCUCAGCCUACCUGUGGGAGGGGCAUCUCUGGAAUGACGUCAGCACAGACAAAGUAGAACUGAGAAGAGGGAGCGAGACAGACACCCGUCACCAUCUAGAUCCAGUGAAGCCUCUGCGUUUUACCCUGGACUUUUUCAGUUGCUUGGUUUAAGCUAGCUGCAUCCUGGGAAGACUUUGCUGGCCUGAGGACUUUUAAAACUGGUCUGCACCAUAACUUGAAAGGGCCUUCAGAAGAUUAUGGGUCUGGAGCAAGGACAUCCUGAGUAGAAGAAUGUAGAAGGUUUAUACGCAUGCUGCUCAAAACUGGCCAACCCACACCAUGUCCUCCCACCAAUAUUGAUCUUAAGCCUUUGGGACAGUUUGAGUCAGCUGAGAGCUCCACCCCUACCACAGCAGGAGAGCUUUUUCAAUGACCUCAAGUUUUAAAUGUCAGAUGGUGAAAGUCAAAGACUUUCAAAGACUGGACCAUGGUAAGUAGUUUCCUUUUGAUUCUUCAGAAACAGACCCUGAGGCAAGGAGUCAAGUAGAAGUGAACUUCUGGGGAGAUGAUCCCAGGAAACACUUGUAGUAGAGUGAGGAUGUGAGACAGGGAAGGAAAGAGGCCAAUAAAUGGUGUGUUCUUAGGCCAGUCAUCACUUUAGGCAACUGGAGCUUAUUCUGCCCAGGAAGCUGGGAUACUUAUCCACCAAUUACCCUCUGUCAUUGGUUGAUUUUAGGGACACCAACACCCCACCACAUUGGUUUGCUCCAUAGGAGUGCUGACCCAUCUCUUGAAGCUAGGAAAUAUGAGCAGAGAAUUGUAAGUAUUCAGUUAGCAUCCAUGUAGAGGUGAAUGGCUAUGGACAGGACACUGACUGAGCCUGUUGCCGUGAGAGCAGGAGGCAGAGGAAGAAGAGCCAUCUUUCAGUGGUUUUCCUAUCAGUGCGUUAACAAUGUUCAUCUCAGACAAAAGAACACUGGAAGACCGGCCAGUGAAAACUUUACAGUCCUUAUAGUUUAUGUAAUUUCUGCAAAGUAACUAACAUUCACUUGCUAUUAGGUAGGUGUGCAAGAGAUUUUAGCAAGAGAAGAAAAAUUUGAUCGGACAGAUAAGGCUCAAAGAAAUCUGAUUGUAGGACACACUUUAAAAUAAUCCAUUGUGAACUUAAACUCUUUGCACAAACCCAAGAGUCCUUUAGCUAAUUCCUUUCCCAAUGAAGGAGCCAAUCAAUGUUCUUUCAGGGGAGAAAAUUACUAGAGAGCCUAGUAUGUGUUUUGAUGCCCUAAUGAGGCACUAUGAAUUACCCAACCCAAACCAAUUAAGUCUUAGCCCGGAUAGAGGGCUACUGAGGAGAUGAGGACACAGCAUGCAUUUAGGGCAGAAUUAACUGCUUCCAUAGCUUGGAAAUAUGCUUGGGGGGAAGCCAAACCUUGUAGCUCUUUGCUGUCCUUAAAGCUGGCAGUCCAAAUGAUCCAGUCCAAUGUUAGCUUUUGUCGCUCUUGCUUCUUUGGCCUUAAAUUUAAAAAAUGUCUGCAAAACAUAAAAUAUGUUUUGAACAUUACAUAAAGCUAUUAAGUGAGGGUGAAUCAUGAAAACAUGGUAUGUCAGAGACAAUAAAGUAAGUGAAAUGAACUGCUGCUGACUAGCUGCUUGACCUUGGGCCAGUUGCUCAGUCCUUUCUUGUCAAUCAAAUAGGAAAUUAUAGCCCAAUAAUGUGGUUUUGGAUUGCAGCUCAAUAAGAGAGCUCUAAUCUCUUGGUUACGCCUUACUGUACCAUGGGAAACCAAGCACUUAUUUUCAUUUUAAUGUGAUCUCUUCCAGUGGACUGUGACUUCCUAAAGCACCCAGCACAAUGCCUGGCUUAGCUUAGGAACUUAGGAGCUAUGUGUUGAAUAAAUGUGAAAUGAAUAGUGGAAGAAGUUAUUUCAAAUAUUAUGGUGCACGUAGAAAUAUGUGAAUAAACAUACCAUCAACACAAAUAGCUGUUUUAAAGAAAAUGAUGAAAGUAGAAUUUUUAUAUAGCUUAUGUAUAUUAGUGGAACAGAGGAGGCAUAGCAGGAGGGUUGCCAUUAGUGAGAAGGUAUGCCGUGUGGUGACUAAGACAUAGCCUUUGGUGUCAGGCAGCCCUGGGCUGGAAUCCUAGCUCUGCUACUUGCUAGCAGACACAAGCUUUGUGUGCUUGUGCAAAUUACACAGGUUUUCUGGGUUUCAAUUUCUUCUCCUGGACUUUGUAGGUUGCAAUAAGGAUCCUACAACAUCUAGGAGGGCUUGAGAAACAGUAUGUUACUUAAAAGAGCUCAGGCUAAGAUGAUCACUAUGAAUACGCACAAAGUCCAAAGUGAGGUAUAAAACUUCCUCCACUGGGUUGCCUUUACUGAAUCAGUCUUUGAUCCCGGUGAGGGCUUUUUUUUUUCUUCUUCUUCCCUUUUCUUCCACAAAGAAUGGAAGUUUGUACAAGAAAUGCAUCAUUCUCUAAACCAAACAGCAAAAAGAGAAACAAAAUGCAGAAGAAAAGAGGUUGACAUCUUGGACAGGAAGGAACUCUUCCCUAUACUUCCAUUCAAGACGGACUCCCAAAUGAGAACUGAAUAAACACGGUAGACAAGGAGGCCAGGAAGAUCUGACUCUCUCCAGAAGCAUCAUUGCCACCUUGCUGCCCCUGGGAACUAGAAUUACCAUCUUGCUCCCAGAAUCUUAUUCUUGAAAGACAAGUCAAACUUUUUGCUCUCAGGGCCGAGCCACAUACCUCAGCCUCUUUCUUGCUUCCUUUGCCCUCUCUCCUUGCUUCAAGCUCAUUGAUUCUCUGUUUCAGUGGGGACUUCCAAGAGAAAUGGAGUGAAUCAUUCAGCAAGGGGAGAACAUCAGCCAUCUAGAACAUUCAACAUUGAUUUAGAAUCCACUUUAAUAUGGUUUAAGCCACGAAUAAACAAUAAACAAGGGAUGGAAGACCGAGGGAAGGAGAAAAGUGGCUCAUCUAAUGAGGCCCGUGGAAGCAAACUGGAAUCUACUGAGUGCACACUGUACUCUGGGCCGGGUCCUGAGGAAAAUAUAAAAAAAAAAGUAAAACAAGUUUUUGGUCCCCAGGAGCUUAGAGUCUAGCUGGGGAGAAAAGGCAUACUCAUUGUUUACGAGACACGAUGAGGAACUUAUAUCUGCUACCAGCACAUCACUUCUCUUCCAUCUACAGAAGAUGGAGCCCUCUUUUCUGACUCCCAAUGGACCUGGAAAUCCAUUCACAGGCUCUCUCACUGUCCAGAGAGUAUGCUGGUGGCAAGAACACACUUGGCCUGGGUGAGGGGAGCCAGAAUCGGGCUUAUCUCUUAUGGAUCCUACGUGUGGCAGCCUGAGUCAUGGUAUUGGACUCUCUUCGUGUUCAAUUUGUAGCCACUUCCAGUACCACAAAUGGCUUCUCCACCGCUUGGACAUGACGGGUCCAGAUUCUUGGUCUCAGAGUACUGAUCUCUUUUCCUUCUCUGCUCUCCCAACAGUUUCCUUCCCAGGGUCUGGAAAUGUCUUCUCAUAUUUCUUUAAAACACUCAGUUUAUUGGGGCACCUGGGUGGCUCAGUCGUUAAGUGUCUGCCUUCAGCUCAGGGCGUGAUCCCGGCAUUCUGGAAUCGAGCCCCACAUCAGGCUUC